GACGAACGCUGGCGGCGUGCUUAACACAUGCAAGUCGAACGGAAAGGCCCUGCUUUUGUGGGGUGCUCGAGUGGCGAACGGGUGAGUAACACGUGAGUAACCUGCCCUUGACUUUGGGAUAACUUCAGGAAACUGGGGCUAAUACCGGAUAGGAGCUCCUGCUGCAUGGUGGGGGUUGGAAAGUUUCGGCGGUUGGGGAUGGACUCGCGGCUUAUCAGCUUGUUGGUGGGGGAGUGGCUUACCAAGGCUUUGACGGGUAGCCGGCCUGAGAGGGUGACCGGCCACAUUGGGACUGAGAGACGGCCCAGACUGCUACGGUAGGCAGCAGUGGGGAAUAUUGCACAAUGGGCGGAAGCCUGAUGCAGCAACGCCGCGUGCGGGAUGACGGCCUUCGGGUUGUAAACCGCUUUCGCCUGUGACGAAGCGUGAGUGACGGUAAUGGGUAAAGAAGCACCGGCUAACUACGUG
rnacentral:rRNA from 1 species